CCUACGGGAGGCAGCAGUGGGGAAUAUUGGACAAUGGGCGAAAGCCUGAUCCAGCCAUGCCGCGUGUGUGAAGAAGGUCUUCGGAUUGUAAAGCACUUUAAGUUGGGAGGAAGGGCAGUAAGCGAAUACCUUGCUGUUUUGACGUUACCGACAGAAUAAGCACCGGCUAACUCUGUGCCAGCAGCCGCGGUAAUA
rnacentral:rRNA from 1 species